rnacentral:ribozyme from 14 species
AUUUGUUUUUCCAUUUUGUUUUUUUUUUUUUUUAAUU